UAUUUUGCUGUGUUUGCCUAGGGAGACCAAACUAGCAGCUUAUAAAAUCUCGACAUCAACCCUUCGCAAGCAUGUGUAGAUGGUGGUUAUUUUAUUUCCUGCCUCUGUGUCUUUUAACAAGUGAAGUGUCUCUGCAGGAGACUGUUGAGGGUUUUAUUGGAGGAUCUGCUGUUUUACCUUGUUCUUCUAAAGAACCACCAGAUACAGUUCAAGACAUUGAUCUAGUGCGCUGGAUACACAGAGACGACAAUGUGUAUAUCAUUAUUAAUGGUCAAGUCUCUGUGGAAGGACAGGAUCCAGAGUACAGGAACAGAGUUGAAAGCUUUCCUGAGGAGUAUAAGAGAGGAAACUUCUCCAUUGAACAACCUUCAACACACUGAUGCAGGAAAAUACUAGUGUUUCAUCAGCGAGAAAUACGUAAUCAGGAGUGUUGAACUUUUCACUCAAGAGAGAAAAGCAAUACAAAUCCCCAAUGAAGGAACCAAACCAAGACCAGAUGUGAUCGCAAUGAUAAUUUAUGUUCUGUGUAUUGGCAUGAUAUUUUCAUUGGUUAACUCUGUCACAGCGUGUUUUUAAGGAGUUUUUGUCAUCGCUCACUUCCCAGUUCCUGUAAUCAACGUCAUCUGCACAGCUUCAUGGGAAUGUCUGUAUGGUCCUGUAGAUAUUAAUUUGUUGUUGUUCACAUCCUCAUUAAAUCUACUGAACCUUU